GACGAACGCUGGCGGCGUGCUUAACACAUGCAAGUCGAACGGAAAGGCCCUGCUUUUGUGGGGUGCUCGAGUGGCGAACGGGUGAGUAACACGUGAGUAACCUGCCCUUGACUUUGGGAUAACUUCAGGAAACUGGGGCUAAUACCGGAUAGGAGCUCCUGCUGCAUGGUGGGGGUUGGAAAGUUUCGGCGGUUGGGGAUGGACUCGCGGCUUAUCAGCUUGUUGGUGGGGUAGUGGCUUACCAAGGCUGUGACGGGUAGCCGGCCUGAGAGGGUGACCGGGCACAAUGGGACUGAGAGACGGCCCAGACUCCUACGGUAGGCAGCAGUGGGGAAUAUUGCACAAUGGGCGGAAGCCUGAUGCGGCAACGCCGCGGGCGGGAUGACGGCCUUCGGGUUGGAAACCGCUUUCGCCUGUGACGAAGCGUGAGUGACGGUAAUGGGUAAAGAAGCACCGGCUAACUACGUG
rnacentral:rRNA from 1 species